AGAUUGAACGCUGUCGGCAUGCCUAACACAUGCAAGUCGAGCGGGCAGCGCGGGGGCGACCCUGGCGGCGAGCGGCGGAACGGGUUGAGUAAGGUCAUCGGAAUCUGCCCUGAUGUGGGGAUAACGUAGGAAACUUACGCUUAAUACCGCAUACGACCGAGAGGUGAAAGCGGGGACCGAAAGGCCUCGCGCAGCAGGAUGAGCCGAUGUCCGAUUAGCUGGUUGGUGGGUUAACGGCCCACCAAGGCGACGAUCGGUAGCUGGUCUGAGAGGAUGAUCAGCCACACUGGGACUGAGACACGGCCCAGACUCCUACGGGCGGCAGC
rnacentral:rRNA from 1 species